CCAAAGGCUCUUUUCAGAGCCACCCAUGUACUCAUUAAAAGGGCU
rfam:Macaca mulatta chromosome 4, whole genome shotgun sequence.